AGUAGAAUUGCAGGAUCAUAUAGUAAGUAAUAUUUAACUCUAAGAGAAAUUGCCAAACUUUUUUCCAGAAUGGCUGGGCCAUUUUGCAUUCCCACCUGUAAU
rnacentral:pre_miRNA from 1 species